UCCUGGUGGCUCAGGUGGUAAAGAAUCUGCCUGCAAUGCAGGAGACCCAGGUUCAAUCCCUGGGUCAGGAA
rnacentral:tRNA from 1 species